AUUGAACGCUAGCGGGAUGCUUUACACAUGCAAGUCGAACGAGUGGCGGACGGGUGAGUAAUAUAUCGUAACGUGCCCAGUAGCGGGGGAUAACUACUCGAAAGAGUGGCUAAUACCGCCUACUCUUGGAGCGGCCGAUGUCGGAAUAGCUAGUGGGUGGGGUAAAGGCUCACCACGGCAAAGAUCCGUAGCUGGUUUGAGAGGACGACCAGCAAAUCUGGAACUCAGACACGGCCCAGACUCCGACGGGAGGCAGCAUUGGGGAAUAUUGCACAAUGGUCGAAAGCCUGAUUCACCCAGGCCGCGUGUGUGAGACGGCCCUCGGGUUGUAAAGUACUUUCAGGCGGGAGGCGUUACCGACAGAAGAAGCACCGGCUAACUCCGUGCCAGCAGCCGCGGUAAUUC
rnacentral:rRNA from 1 species